UACAGAGGUGCCAAGCGUUAGGCGGAAUCACUGGGCUUAAAGCGCGUGUAGGCGGGGCGUUAAGUGUGUUGUGAAAUCCCACGGCUCAACCGUGGAACUGCUGGGCAUACCGACGAUCUUGAGGCACUCAGGGGCUGUCGGAACAAAUGGUGGAGCGGUGAAAUGCGUAGAUAUCAUUUGGAACGCCAACGGUGAAAACAGACAGCUGGGGGUGUCCUGACGCUGAGACGCGAAAGCCAGGGGAGCGAACGGG
rnacentral:rRNA from 1 species